CACCUUCUGACGUCUGACGAUUACGUUCCCGACGAGCAGCUCGCAUGCAAGAUUGCAAAGGCAGAGUACAACCCCAGUGUGGAUAUGAACCUGCACUUCCCUUCAUCCACGAAAGUGCCUUUUCCUGCAAAAUUGAGAUCAGCAGGUGGAGACGAAGACGACUCAAAUGAUCGCAGCAGGCCGGGUUCGCCGAUAAGGAAUAAUUUAUCUCGCUUCGCGAUAAACCAGAUGGAACACCGAUUGAUCAAUCAAGGCGAACUGCAAUGGUUCAACAGCGGAGGGGCUGUUGACACGUCGCCGAUUACGAUUAGUGAUAAGCCAUUCCGUCUUCGGAGUUACGAGGAUGAGACUAGGGCUUUCAAGCCUAAAUACACAAAGGCGAGUUUUCUUUUUUUUUUGUUAUUCACGUUUCCAAAGCUUUAUGCAUUACGUUGUGGUGCGGAUCAGUGCAGGGAUCGAUAAUAUUUUUAUGAGAAUUUUCCUAUUAAGACGCACGUGAAACUUCAAAUGCUUCUAUAGGCAACUGCUGAGCCAAUUUGAAUGACCUUGGUUGCAUUUAGGUGAGGAAGUUCGAACUUGAAGUGUUCAAGGCAGAUUUCUCAUUUAUGCCCUCAAUUUGGACUGGAACACCUAGUCUACAGCCUUUUAACUCGUUCUUCACC